rnacentral:rRNA from 1 species
AACGAACGCUGGCGGCAUGCCUAACACAUGCAAGUCGAACGAAGCCUUCGGGCUUAGUGGCGCACGGGUGCGUAACGCGUGGGAAUCUGCCCUUGGGUUCGGAAUAACGGUUAGAAAUGACUGCUAAUACCGAAUGAUGUCUUCGGACCAAAGAUUUAUCGCCCAAGGAUGAGCCCGCGUCGGAUUAGCUAGUUGGUGAGGUAAAGGCUCACCAAGGCGACGAUCCGUAGCUGGUCUGAGAGGAUGAUCAGCCACACUGGGACUGAGACACGGCCCAGACUCCUACGGGAGGCAGCAGUUAGGAAUAUUGGACAAUGGGCGCAAGCCUGAUCCAGCCAUGCCGCGUGAGUGAUGAAGGCCUUCGGGUUGUAAAGCUCUUUAGUCCACGAAUAUAAUGACUGUAGUGGAAGAAUAAGCCCGGCUAACUUCGUGCCAGCAGCCGCGGUAAU